AGUGAACGCUGGCGGUGGGCCUAACACAUGCAAGUCGAACGGCAGCACAGUAAGAGCUUGCUCUUACGGGUGGCGAGUGGCGGACGGGUGAGGAAUACAUCGGAAUCUACUUUUUCGUGGGGGAUAACGUAGGGAAACUUACGCUAAUACCGCAUACGACCUACGGGUGAAAGCAGGGGAUCUUCGGACCUUGCGCGAUUGAAUGAGCCGAUGUCGGAUUAGCUAGUUGGCGGGGUAAAGGCCCACCAAGGCGACGAUCCGUAGCUGGUCUGAGAGGAUGAUCAGCCACACUGGAACUGAGACACGGUCCAGACUCCUACGGGUGGCAGCAGUAGGGAAUAUUGGACAAAGGGCGCAAGCCUGAUCCAGCCAUACCGCGUGGGUGAAGAAGGCCUUCGGGUUGUAAAGCCCUUUUGUUGGGAAAGAAAAGCAGCAGGUUAAUACCCCGCUGUUCUGACGGUACCCAAAGAAUAAGCACCGGCUAACUUCGUG
rnacentral:rRNA from 1 species